AACGCACAUUGCGCCCCUUGGUAUUCCAUGGGGCAUGCCUGUUCGAGCGUCAUUUGUACCCUCAAGCUUUGCUUGGUGUUGGGCGUCUUGUCCCGCGUUUGCGUGUGGACUCGCCUUAAAGCGAUUGGCAGCCGGCAUAUUGGCCUUGGAGCGCAGCACAAUUUGCGUUUCUAGUCAUGAAUGUUGGCGUCCAUUAAGCCUAUAACAUUUGCUCUUGACCUCGGAUCAGGUAGGGAUACCCGCUGAACUUAA
rnacentral:misc_RNA from 1 species